AUUCCCAUGAUGGACUUGACUGUGUCUUCCCUGCUGUCCAUGGUGGUUUACACCUGUUGUACCUGGGCCAUACCUGCUCAGAGUACCUCAGUGAGCUCCAAAAGGUUCCCUAAAAGUUAUUCAGAUGAUCACAUUAUACGCAGUGAGAUGACAGCGAUGGAUCAAAUCAUAGAGGCCAAUGAGUUCCAAG